ensembl:lncRNA
AUGGAAAUUAUUCCUCCUCGUACCAUGUGCCAGCUCUGGGCUCUCUCAGGAAGAGCUGCCCAGAAGAGAAGGUUGCAACUUUGUAGAAACGUAUUGCUGCUGCUUAUUGAAGCUAAAGGAAUGUCGCUGCAUCAAUCAGGUCUCAUGGCAGGGCUCUCUUUCCUGUGUGUGGGAGGGCACCACGAACAAACGUUUCUUCUAAGGUGUCCCCUGGCACUGAUAGCACUCUCCUCUUCCGUUUUCCUUUAUCUGGUUCUUUCUUGCCUUGGAGACUCAAUGAUUUUAUGCCUAGUGGUUCAUAAGUCACAAAAUAUCUGGAAUUAGGUGGGAGACCAUGAUAAUGACAUUUGGAAGCAUCUCAGGAGACAAGAAUAAAACGCCAUUUUUUUCCCCACUUCACUAACAACUCAGUGUUCUGCAAAGUCUGGAAUGUGCUAUGAAAAGUUUGUGUGCUUAGUGAAAUGUUGUACAAUUGGCCAAUCCACUAAGUCUUGGGAAAUGUCUUAGGAGCUUGGCAAGAGGAAGUUCUCAAGAGAGCCGGAAUGCUGCCAGUUUCCAAUUGGCCAAGACACAUUACAAGGACAACCGUCUCUCUGAGCAACCUGGCAUUUCCACUCCAAUUGGAAUCUGCAACAGGAAGAUGCACAGGGGAAGAGGAUUAAAUAAACCUUUUCAGAUUUCUGGUCCAG